GCCUUCGCCCCGCUCCUGCCGCCUGCGUGUGGCAGCGGCAGCCGCUCGGCCUGCGCUCCGUGCCGCGCCGCGGGGAGCCGGGAGCGGGCCGGGAGGCACGGCGGGAGGAGCGCCCGGAGCGGGGGGACUGCGAGGGGAGCCCGGCGGCCGGGAACCGGGAGCGCGCGAGACCCCGGCGCACUUGGGCGGCACCACCGCGUUCGGGGAUAACGUGGAGGAUGAGUGGUUCAUCGUGUACCUGCUCCGGGAGAUCACCAGGGAGUUCCCGGGGCUGGCAGCCAGGAUUGAUGACCACGAUGGAGAGUUUCUCUUGAUAGAAGCAGCCGAUUUUAUCCUAAGGUGACUGAAUCCUGAGCACAGUGGAAACAGGGUGAGUAAAGCUUGUGUACAGCUGGCAUGGUGGCCACAGUGACCUUUUCUGUAGCAGCUGGAGUUUUCUCUUGCACCUCUCUCUAGCCAAGUGGUCUGACUGCCUCUGAAAAUCCAGAGUGCUGUCUGUCCCUUGCUGUUGCUCCCUUCAGGAGCACUCCUGUAUCCAACAGAACUUUCAAGCUCUGCUAAACCACUUGGAUGAUUUUUUUUUUUUUACCAUACUGUGGAGUGUUUAGGGCAGAGGAUUUGCUGCCCUCAGAGCAGGGAAUGCUCAGGGCUGGAGUGUUGCUGUCUCUGUAAGGACACAGGCUUUGUCUGGCACAGGUGAAAUAAUGAGCAGACACCUUCCCCUUCCCCUACUCCAAGAUUCUUAAAAGGGCUGGAACACAACACCAAAAUUGAUUGCAAGUGUGUACCUGGAGUGUCAGGCCCAUAUUUCCUUUGUUUGAGGGAGCAGAGUGAGGGAGCUGAGAGCAUUGCACUCAGGGCUUUUCUCAGGAUCAGGAACCAGCAGAGGUCGCAUGUAGCCCCUGAAAUAAUGCUUUUACAUCCCUGGGAUGCUCUGGAGCAGUUAGGUUAUGCUGGUUCUCCUGAAGCACUUCUCUAGUUGAAGAGAAACCUGGUAUUGUUGUUAUGAAGGAAACAAGAUGUAUUUGAUAAACUCGUUGCAGAAUGUAGAAGCUGAGGAAGGAAUAGAGAUGGAAGCAAGUUUUGAUAUAGAAGAAAAGAAUUGCUGAGCCAGUCUUACUGGAUAACCAAGGAGCAAAGGGUAUGUUAGUUAGAAGGGGGUUUUAUGACUUAGAACAAAGGAUAAACCCACCUCAAACAAGAUGAUGUUUUUACCAAGCAGAAAGAUAGCACAAGCAAACAAGUCAGCAAAUGUUGCAAGUAGAAAAAAGGUCUCAGAAUUUUCCACUGCAAGAAAACUGAAGAACAAUUUCUAGCUUAAACUGUAAUGUACUAACAUUUAGUGAUUGGAGAAUACUAACAUGAAUAUGGUAAUUGUAUUAGUUAUGAUAGGCUAUAGAUAAAAGUUAAGGUAUAGAUUGGUUCUACUGUAUUAAGAUGCUCAGCAAAGAAAAGUAUAUAAUGCAUUUGUAACCUAAGCUAAGGGUCUCCAGGCCUGCCUGCAGCUGCAGCUGACAGCUGUAGGCUCAGGCUCUGUCGCCCACGACCCUGGACUGCUCUAACAUCUUGCAUAUAAUAAACUGCGUUUUGGAAGAGCCA